CAGCAGCCGCGGUAAUACGGAGGGUGCAAGCGUUAAUCGGAAUUACUGGGCGUAAAGCGCACGAAGGCGGUUUGUUAAGUCAGAUGUGAAAUCCCCGGGCUCAACCUGGGAACUGCAUCUGAUACUGGCAAGCUUGAGUCUCGUAGAGGGGGGUAGAAUUCCAGGUGUAGCGGUGAAAUGCGUAGAGAUCUGGAGGAAUACCGGUGGCGAAGGCGGCCCCCUGGACGAAGACUGACGCUCAGGUGCGAAAGCGUGGGGAGCAAACAGGAUUAGAUACCCGGGUAGUCCCUGUCUCUUAUAC
rnacentral:rRNA from 1 species